rnacentral:rRNA from 1 species
GGCAAUGCGGCUGCCUAUGCAUGCAGUCGCACGGAGACCUUCGGGUCUGAGUGGCGCACGGCUGAGGAACACGUGAGAAUCUGCCCUUCGGUGGGGGAUAACGCCGCGAAAGCGGCGCUAAUCCCGCAUACGCUCCACGGAGGAAAGGCGCAAGUCGCCGAAGGAAGAGCUUGCGGCCCAUCAGGUUGUUGGUGCGGUAACGGCGCACCAAGCCGAUGACGGGUAGCUGGUCUGUGAGGACAGACAGCCAGACUGGGACUGAGAACGGCCCAGACUCCUACGGGAGGCAGCAGCAAGGAAUUUUCGUCAAUGGGGGCAACCCUGAACGAGCAACGCCGCGUGGUGGAUGACGGCCUUCGGGUUGUAAACACCUUUUGCUGAGGAUGAUAAUGACAGUACUCGGCGAAUAAGCCCCGGCUAACUCUGUGCCAGCAGCCGCGGUAAUACAGAGGGGGCAAGCGUUGUCCGGAAUGACUGGGCGUAAAGGGUCCGCAGGUGGACCCGCGCGUGUGGUGUGAAACCGCCGGGCUUAACCCGGCGCGGCCAUCGCAUACGGCGGGUCUUGAGAGGGGGAGAGGUGGGUCGAAUUGCCGGUGUAGUGGUGAAAUGCGUAGAGAUCGGCAGGAAGACCAAGGGGGAAGCCAGCCCACUGGCCCCGCUCUGACACUGAGGGACGAAGGCGUGGGGAGCAAACCGGAUUAGAUACCCGGGUAGUCCACGCGGUAAACGAUGCCGACUCGGCCUCUGGGGGCUAUUGACGCCGCUGGGAGCCCAAGCUAACGCGAUAAGUCGGCCGCCUGGGAAGUACGAGCGCAAGCUUAAAACUCAAAGGAAUUGACGG